GACGAACGCUGGCGGCGUGCUUAACACAUGCAAGUCGAACGAUGAAGCGGCCAGCUUGCUGGUGGUGGAUUAGUGGCGAACGGGUGAGUAACACGUGAGUAACCUGUCCUUCACUCUGGGAUAAGCCCUGGAAACGGGGUCUAAUACUAGAUAUUCUCAAUGUGCCGCAUGGUGUGUUGUGGAAAGAUUUUUUGGUGAGGGUUGGACUCGCGGCCUAUCAGCUUGUUGGUGGGGUAGUGGCCUACCAAGGCUUUGACGGGUAGCCGGCCUGAGAGGGUGACCGGCCACACUGGGACUGAGACACGGCCCAGACUCCUACGGGAGGCAGCAGUGAGGAAUAUUCCGCAAUGGGCGAAAGCCUGACGGAGCAAUGCCGCGUGGAGGAUGACGGCCCGUGGGUUGUAAACUCCUUUUCUUGGAGAAGAAUAACUGACGGUAUCCAAGGAAUAAGCAUCGGCUAACUCCGUGCCAGCCGCCGCAGUAAGAC
rnacentral:rRNA from 1 species